GACGAACGCUGGCGGCGUGCCUAAUACAUGCAAGUCGAGCGCAGGAAGCCGUCUGAACCCUUCGGGGGGACGACGGUGGAAUGAGCGGCGGACGGGUGAGUAACACGUAAAGAACCUGCCCAUAGGUCUGGGAUAACCACGAGAAAUCGGGGCUAAUACCGGAUGUGUCAUCGGACCGCAUGGUCCGCUGAUGAAAGGCGCUUCGGCGUCGCCCAUGGAUGGCUUUGCGGUGCAUUAGCUAGUUGGUGGGGUAACGGCCCACCAAGGCGACGAUGCAUAGCCGACCUGCGAGGGUGAGCGGCCACACUGGGACUGAGACACGGCCCAGACUCCUACGGGAGGCAGCAGUAGGGAAUCUUCCACAAUGGACGAAAGUCUGAUGGAGCAACGCCGCGUGAACGAUGAAGGCUUUCGGGUCGUAAAGUUCUGUUGUAAGGGAAGAACAAGUGCCGCAGGCAAUGGCGGCACCUUGACGGUACCUUGCGAGAAAGCCACGGCUAACUACGUGCCAGCAGCCGCCGUAA
rnacentral:rRNA from 1 species